UACCCAGUCUAGAACGCUAGGGGAAUAAUGAUAGGGCAAGUCUGGUGUCGGCACUCCGCGGUAAUACCAGCUCUCCUAGUGGUGUGGAUGUUUAUUGGGCCUAAAGCAGUCCUGUACCUGGCUAAAUUACGUCCCUUGUUAAAUCCACCGAAUUAAUCGUUGGAUUGCGGGGGAUACUGCUUGGCUAGGGGACCAGAGAGGCACACGGUAUUUCCGGGGUAGGGGUGAAAUCCUAUAAUCCCGGGAAGACCACCAGUGGCGAAGGCUGUCUGCUACAACGCACCCUACGGUGAGGGAUGAAAGCUGGGGGAGCGAACCGGAUUAUGAUACCCGGGUAGUCCCAGCUGUAAACUAUGCAGGCUAGGUGUUUGGACGGCCACGUGCCGUUCUAAUGCCGCAUGGAAGCUGUUAAGCCUGCCGCCUGGGGAGUACGAUCGCAAGAUUGAAACUUAAAGGAAUUGGCGGGGGAGCAC
rnacentral:rRNA from 1 species